rnacentral:lncRNA from 1 species
UGAUGAAAAAUGUGAUAAAAGAAAACAUAAAAAAAAACAUAAAAAUAUAUCAGAUAAUGUAUUGAACAAAACGCAGGAAAAGAAAAAAAAUAUCAAUACAAAUAAACAGAAAUUGUUAAAAACGGAAGAAACUAAUAAAAACAUAAAUAAAGAUUCCGUUAUUGAAAAAUAUGAUCAAAAUACAAAAAACGACCACAUAAACGACCAUAUAAAUAAAGAACCCACAUUCGGUGACGAAAAAGAAUUUAACAAUUUUAAAAAAAAUUUAAGUGAAGAAGAAAAAACGAAAUCCAAUUUAAAACAAAAUAAUAAAAACGUACCUAAUGAGGAAAAAACAAAUUGUACUAACAAAAACGGUGCAACCAUGACUUGUGCAAAUCAUCCAAAAGAACAAUUACUUACUGACAAUAAUAACUAUUUGUUUAUAAACAUUGUUGAAUAUAUAAGUAAAAUUUUACAUGAACUAUUAUUUUUGCAUACAAUUGAUCUAACACAAAUGUUUUUUUAUUUAAAAAUAUUUAAAUAUGAUCGAUUAUAUACAAACGAAAAAAAAAAACUGUGACAAUCUUAUUGAUAAAAUAAAGUAUAAAUUAAAUAUAGAUAAUAGUAAUAGUACUAAUACUAGCACACAAAAACAAAUGAAUGACAUAAUAGACAAAGAAAUUAAGCAUAAACAAGUGGAAUAUAAAAAAACGGACAGUAUUGAUUAUUAUAUAAACAACAACCACCCCCAAAAAAACAACACUAGAGAAAUAUCAUUUACCAAUUUUUUAAGUUAUCCAUUAAUUUUACCAAACAACUCUGUUAAUCCAGAAGAAGAUUUUUAUUUAUAUAAGUAUACUACAGAAAAAAAAACAAGUCGAACUUUAUUUGAAAAUUUAUGUUAUAAAGAUGCUGAUGAAAUACAGUUACUUGCUGCUACAGUUGAUACAAUUUUAUCUUUAAUAAAUACUUAUUAUGUUAUAUUUUUAAAUAUAUUAAAAAAUUCAUGUAAUCAGUAUUGCUUUGCAACUAUUGAUCUUUAUGAUGACCGAAAUAUAAAAUGUGUUCAAUUAGCAAAACAGUAUAGUGAUAAUACGAUAGCACAACAAAAUGCUGCACAACAAUAUCCUACACAACAAUAUCCUACAAACCUAGAACUUAUAAAACAACAUGACUAUAAUAACGUACCAAUAAACAGUGUUAUACAUAACGACGCUAAUAAUAAAAAUGAUUCAAUUUUUGAAUGUGAGCUUAAUAACCGAAUUAAAAAAUAUAAUGAUAACAAUACUAUUAAUGAAAUAGCUGUUAAAUAUGAUACAAAAGUUUACAGUAGUAUUGGGAGUAGAAACAGUAAUUAUAAUACGAAUGAGAAUAUUAAUAAGUAUGAAAAUAAUGAUAGUAUAUAUUCUAAUAAUUAUAAUAAUUGCGAAUUCUUAAACAAUUAUAAUGAUAAAAACAUGCGUUUAUUUUUUUCUGUGUUUAAUUCGACUUGUAGAUAUUUUAUAUCAUCAUUAUGUUUAAUGUUUUCUUAUGCAAACACAUUAGAUACAUGUUUUUUUAACGCUUGUCAGAAAUUAAU